UGACUGCUAUCGGAUUGAUACUAAGCCAUGCGAGUCAUUGUAGCAAUACAAGGCAUACGGCUCAGUAACGCGUAGUCAACCUAACCUAUGGACGGGAAUAACCUCGGGAAACUGAGAAUAAUGCCCGAUAGAACAUUAUGCCUGGAAUGGUUUAUGUUCCAAAUGAUUUAUCGCCGUAGGAUGGGACUGCGGCCUAUCAGUUUGUUGGUGAGGUAAUGGCCCACCAAGACUAUUACAGGUACGGGCUCUGAGAGGAGUAGCCCGGAGAUGGGUACUGAGACACGGACCCAGGCCCUAUGGGGCGCAGCAGGCGAGAAAACUUUGCAAUGUGCGAAAGCACGACAAGGUUAAUCCGAGUGAUUUGUGCUAAACGAAUCUUUUGUUAGUCCUAGAAACACUAACGAAUAAGGGGUGGGCAAGUUCUGGUGUCAGCCGCCGCGGUAAAACCAGCACCUCAAGUGGUCAGGAUGAUUAUUGGGCCUAAAGCAUCCGUAGCCGGCUCUGUAAGUUUUCGGUUAAAUCUGUACGCUUAACGUACAGGCUGCCGGGAAUACUGCAAAGCUAGGGAGUGGGAGAAGUAGACGGUACUCGGUAGGAAGUGGUAAAAUGCUUUGAUCUAUCGAUGACCACCUGUGGCGAAGGCGGUCUACUAGAAC
rnacentral:rRNA from 1 species